AGGACCUCUGGUCAGAAAUGGCAACUGCUUAAUUUAUGCGUUAUACUAAGCAGAGGAAAAUAAACUAACCAGGAUUCCCUCAGUAACGAAGAGGAAAGAGCCAGUGGCGAAUUCCCAUCCGGCGGCGGGCAUGGGAAUGUGGCAUACAGUAGACUGACUCCCUGGCAUCGCUCAGGGGGCCUAAGUCCUUCUGAUCGAGGCUCACCCCAUGGACGGUGUUAGGCCAUCAUGAUCAGGUCUUUUCAGAGUCAGGUCGCUUGGGAAUGCAGCCCACAGCGGAUGGUAAACUCCAUUUAAGGGUAGGUACGGGCAUGAGACCGAUAGCCAACCAACAAGUACUGUAAGGGAAAGUUGAACUUUUAAGAGAAAGUUCAGGAGGGUGUGAAACCAUUGCAAGGCAAAGUGGAGGGUUCAACAUUGUGGGCAGGUCAGUCAUCCGGAACAGCAGAUACCCUGGUGGGAAUGCCGCUCAGGUGAACCCAGCCCCGCAGGGUGCAUUUCCUCUGUGGUGGUGCACUGCGGCUGGCUCCACGUCAGCUUGGAAGGCCCCUGGUGGGCAGGUGGCUCUCUGCUGCAGCGAAGAGUGUCACAGCCCCCUGGCAGCAGUUUUGCUGUAUUCAUGGGGCUGAUGGAGAUUGACCGCUGCCACACCCUCCUCCUGCAACUGUCCCCAUCUCCUCUUGGGGGGCUGUGUCACCGGGUGGGGAGGCCCAUUAAGGGCCCUAGGAGUCUGCAAUGAUGUUGGUUGCCCACCCAACCCAACUUGAAACAUGAACCAAGGAGUCUAACACCUGCGCAAGUCAGAGGGUGGAACAAAACCCUGUGGCACAGUGAAAGUGAGGGUCUGGGCACACCGGCUAAGGUGGGAGCCUGACGCGGCAGGCACAUCACCGGCCCGUGUCGCCCGCUCUGCUGGGGAGGGGGUGCAUGAGCAAGUGCGAUAGGACCCGAAAGAUGGUGAACUAUGUGUGGGCAGGGCCGAGCCAGAUGAAGCCCUGGUGGAGGUCAACCGACCUGGAUAUAGAGGUGAAGGUCUAAUCAAACCAUCUAGUAGCUGGUUCCCUCUGAGGUUUCCCUCAGGAUAGCUGGCACUCAGAAGCCCCUGUUUUAUCUGGUAAAGCGAAUAAUUAGAGGUAUUGGGGCCGAAACAAUCUCAAACUAUUCUCAAAUUUUAAAUGGUUAAGAAGCUGGACAUUGAAUGCGAGUGCCCAGGGGGGCACUUUUGGUAAGCAGAACUGGUGAUGUAGGAUGAACCGAGUGCUGGGUUAAGGUGCCUGAUGCCGACGGUUAUCAGAUCCCAGAAAAGGUGUUAGUUGAUGUAGACAGCAGGACGGUGACCAUGGAAGUCAUAAUCCGCUAAGAAGGGUGUAACAACUCACCUGCCAAAUCAACUAGCCCAGAAAAUGGAUGGUGUUGCAGCAUCGGCCCCACAUCCGGCCAUCACUGGCACUGAGAGCCACGGGGGCUAAGCCGCGAUGAGUAGAAGGGCUGCUUUGGUGCACAUGUAAGUCCAGGGUGACACACUGCAGGUGCGGAUCUUGGUGAUAGUAGCAAAUGUUCAAAAGAACACUUUGAUGGCUGAAGUGAAGAAGGGUUCCAUGUGAAUAGCAGUUGAACAUGGGUCAGUCGGUCCUAAGAAAUGUGCAAGCACUGUUCAGAGGGAUGGGUAAUGGCCUCCAUUGUCCUCAGUCGAUCGAAAGGGAGUUGGGUUCAGAUCCCCAAAACUGGAGUGGCAGAGACGGGUGCCCUUGUUACCAGUGCGGUAACGCAAAUGAACCCAGGGAAGCCGACAGGAGCCCCAGGAAGAGUACUCUUUUCUUUGUGACUGGCAGGGCACCCUGGAAUGGGUUCGCCCCAAGAGAGGGGCCCAAGCCUUGAAAAGCAGUGGGGUUACAUCUGAGUCCGGUGAGCUUUCGCUAGUCCUUGAAAAGCCGAGGGAGAUGGUGUAAAUCUCUUGCCGGCUGUAUCCAUAUCGGCAGCAGAUCCCCAAGAUGAAACAGCCGCUGGCAUGUUGGAACAAUGUAGAUAAGGGAAGUCGGCAAGUCAGAUCCACAACAUCUGAUAAAGAUUGGCUGUAAGGGCGGGUCGCGAAGCGCAGCUGGGCAUGUGCUGUGGCUGGAUGAGGAAUCCCCCUGCCGGGGGCGCCGACUCUGAAAGCGACCUGGGCCCUUCCUGUGGAUCGCCCCAGCUACGAUGAUCGCCUCUCUUCGUUCCCCUCCCUGGGUUCGGGGGCCAGCAUUCGGCCUCGCAUGGCACUUAGCAGCUGACCUAGAACUGGUGCGGACCAGUGGAAUCCCACUGUUUAAUUAAAACAAAACUUUGAGAAGGCUCGCGAAGAAAUUCAAUAAGGCGAGUAAACGGUGGGAGUAACUAUAACUCUCUUAAGGUAGCCAAAUAUCUCCUCGUCUAAUUAGUGAUGCGCAUGAAUGGAUGAACGAGAUUUCCAUUGUCCCCAACUACUAUCUAGUGAAACCACAGACAAGGGAACGGGAUGCGUAGAAUCAGCGAGGAAAGAAGACACAACUGAGCAUGACUCUAGUCUGGCACUAUAAUGAGACAUGAAAUGUGUAGGCUAAGUCAGAGGUCCUCGGUCCGCCUCUGAAAUACCACUACUCUACAGGUGUUAGCAGUAUUUACCAACUUUCUAUCAACAUUUCACAGUCCACAAAAGUGCUUUGGUAUCAACUAUCACUUUGGAGACUACAGCAAGAUAUUAACCACUACUACAUGGCACCCCCCCACCCAUGGUGAGGCAGAGGGGCAGGCUCUGUGGGGCUCUUGCUUCUGGCUCAAGCGCCGCUGGGCUCAACCCACUCGGGAGAAAGUGGCAGGUGGGGAGUUUGACUGGGGCGAUAAACCUGCAAACGAUAACGCAGAUAUCCUAAGGCAAGCUCAGGGAGGACAGAAGGGCACUAGUCUCCCUUAGUCGGGGACAGGUUUGCGAGGCGAAAUGGUAAAGGAUAAAGGCAAGAAACAUUGCAACAGCAAAAUGGAGCACUUUACAGUGAAUGGUCCUCCGUC
rnacentral:rRNA from 1 species